UAGGGAAUCUUCGGCAAUGGGGGCAACCCUGACCGAGCAACGCCGCGUGAGUGAAGAAGGUUUUCGGAUCGUAAAGCUCUGUUGUAAGAGAAGAACGUGUGUGAGAGUGGAAAGUUCACACAGUGACGGUAACUUACCAGAAAGGUACGGCUAACUACGUGCCAGCAGCCGCGGUAAUACGUAGGUCCCGAUCGUUGUCUGGAUUUAUUGGGGGUAAAGCGAGCGCAGGCGGUUUAAUAAGUCUGAAGUUAAAGGCAGUGGCUUAACCAUUGUUCGCUUUGGAAACUGUUAGACUUGAGUGCAGAAGGGGAGAGUGGAAUUCCAUGUGUAGCGGUGAAAUGCGUAGAUAUAUGGAGGAACGCCGGUGGCGAAAGCAGCUCUCUGGUCUGUAACUGACGCUGAGGCUCGAAAGCGUGGGGAGCGAACAGG
rnacentral:rRNA from 1 species